UUUCACUAGAGUCAUGGGAAAAAUAAACUAAAAAAGUAUAUGAUUGAAAACAAUUGUAGAAAUAAGAGGUUGAAGAGGCGACAAUGUACCGGUGGUGAUAUUGGUCGAUGUUGAUACCGGAGGUGUGACAAGCGGAGUCGGUCUUUUGACAGGAUGGUGGAAUUGAUGCUUUGGCGGUUCAUCACUUGGGUUCCCGAGGUUAGUUUAUUGUGGCAGUUUUAUCAAACAAUUUGAAACCUAUUAAGUUGUAUUUCUUUCUUAUGAUUAACUUCUUGGUAUCUACAUUAAUUUUGUAAUUCAUGUUGUUUGUAACUUUGGCAUCCCCAAAAUUAGAGGAGACAAAUACUCAUCAUCAAGUUUGUCAAAAUCAGUAUUUUACUUCAGAUCGAAAGGAAUUAGUAAAAUGA
rnacentral:lncRNA from 1 species